UGGGGAAUCUUGCGCAAUGGGCGAAAGCCUGACGCAGCAACGCCGUGUGAAUGAUGAAGGCCUUAGGGUCGUAAAAUUCUGUCAAGGGGGAAGAAGAUCUGACGGUACCCCUGGAGGAAGCUCCGGCUAACUACGUGCCAGCAGCCGCGGUAAUACGUAGGGAGCGAGCGUUGUCCGGAAUUACUGGGCGUAAAGGGCGUGUAGGCGGCCAAUCAAGUCAGGUGUGAAAAUCCAAGGCUCAACCUUGGACGUGCACUUGAAACUGGUUGGCUUGAGUGCAGGAGAGGAAAGUGGAAUUCCCAGUGUAGCGGUGAAAUGCGUAGAUAUUGGGAGGAACACCAGUGGCGAAGGCGACUUUCUGGCCUGUAACUGACGCUGAGGCGCGAAAGCUAGGGGAGCAAACAGGAUUAGAUACCCUGGUAGUCCUAGCCGUAAACGAUGGGUACUAGGUGUAGGGGGUUUAGAUGCCCUCUGUGCCGCAGUUAACACA
rnacentral:rRNA from 1 species